AUGACUUUAAUCCCCAUCUUCAUCUGGACACUGAUCUUCUGGACUCAAGGUCAGGUGACUGUAACUCAGACUCCUGCAGUGAAAUCUGCUCUUCCAGGAGACACAGUCACCAUCAGCUGUAGGAUCAGCACUGCAGUGUAUUACUCCAGCUCAUAUGGCCACUAUUUACACUGGUAUCAGCAAAAACCUGGAGAAGCUCCUAAACUCCUGAUUAUACUUGCGAAUCAGCUUCAGUCUGGUUUUCCAGCUCGUUUCAGUGGCAGCGGCUCUGGAUCUGACUUCACUCUGACCAUCAGUGGAGUCCAGCCUGAAGAUGAUGGAGAUUAUUUCUGUCAGAGUUACCAUUAUAUCAGCAGUAACAAUCUGUUCACACAGUGA